rnacentral:rRNA from 1 species
GAUGAACGCUGGCGGCGUGCCUAAUACAUGCAAGUCGAGCGAACGGACGAGGAUUUUGCGUGGCGGAUGUGAGGGGAGGAGGGGUGAAUAACACGAGGAUAACCUACCUAUAAGACUGGGAAAACUUGGGGAAAGCGGAUAAAAUACCAGAGAAUCUUUUGCACCGUAUGGGUGAAAGGAGAAAUACGGUCGUGCGGUCUGUAAUAGAGGGUUCUGCGCUGGAUUAGCUGGUUGGUAAGGUAACGGGCUACGAAGGCUACGAGGCGUAGCCGACCGGAGUGGCUGAUCGGCCACCCGGGAACUUAGACACGGUCCAGGCUCCUACGGUAGGCAGCAGUAUGGAAUCUUCGGCAAUGGGCGAAAGCCUGGCGCAGCAACGCCGCGUGAGUGAUGAAGGUCUUCGGAUCGUGAUGCUCUGUUAUUGGGGAUGAACAUAUGUGUCAUUAGCUGUGCACAUCUUGACGGUACCGAGUCAGAAAGCCCCGGCUAACUACGUG